rnacentral:rRNA from 1 species
AGCGAACGCUGGCGGCAUGCUUAACACAUGCAAGUCGCACGCCCAGCAAUGGGAGUGGCGGACGGGUGAGUAACGCGUAGGAGUGUAUCAAGAGGUGGGGGACCACCCUGGGAAACUAGGGCUAAUACCGCAUAUGUACUGAGGUACAAAGGCGUGAGGCGCCUUUGGAGCAGCCUGCGUCCGAUGAGGUUGUUGGUGGGGUAACGGCCUACCAAGCCUGCGAUCGGUAGCUGGUCUGGGAGGACGAACAGGGACAAUGGGACUGAGACACGGACCAGACUCCUACGGGAGGCAGCAGUGGGGAAUAUUGGACAAUGGGCGCGAGCCUGAUCCAGCAAUGCCGCGUGGAUGAGGAAGGUCUUCUGAUUGUAAAGUCCUUUCGACGGGGACGAUGAUGACGGUACCCGUAGAAGAAGCCCCGGCUAACUUCGUGCCAGCCGCCGCAGUAACAC